UACGUAGGUGGCGAGCGUUGUCCGGAUUUAUUGGGUUUAAAGGGUGCGUAGGCGGCCCUGUAAGUCAGUGGUGAAAUACGGCAGCUCAACUGUCGAGGUGCCAUCGAUACUGCGGGGCUUGAGUACUGAUGAGGUAGGCGGAAUUGACGGUGUAGCGGUGAAAUGCUUAGAUAUCGUCAAGAACACCGAUAGCGAAGGCAGCUUGCCAAGCAACAACUGACGCUCAGGCACGAAAGUGCGGGGAUCAAACAGG
rnacentral:rRNA from 1 species